AAAAAAAAAACAUAUGAACGGAACACACAAAAGAAGGGCACAUAUCUCAGUAGUUAGUGAGAAAAUAGAGAUAACAUUUUUCAUAACUACAGAAUGAUGACAAAGAAUAAAAUGAUAGUGCCAAGAUGGAGGCUCCGAUAAUCAUUUUUCUAAAUUUACAGUUUUAUACGAUCCUGGAAAUCUCUUCAGUAAUCAGAUUUUUACAUUGUUCAUUUUUUAACUGUUUAAAGAAAAAUUUCUGAAGUAAGUUUGCUAACAACCAAUCCCUCCACUGCAUAGAGGACAUCAAGAGAUCAUCACCAUGCCAACCACCAGGAAUACGAGUGCAAACUUCUGCUCACUGCAUGCCGGGAUGCAAUGUUACCAAUGCCUGAGUCCAGUGAGGCAGAAAACACUCCCAUGCAAAAAUUAUAUGAAAUGGGUUUAUUACUUAUAUAAAGGCAGCAAAGGACAAAAGAAGCCUAGGAUCUAUGCUACACCAACAGAGAAGAAAGUGAGACAGGAAAAACAAGUC
rnacentral:lncRNA from 1 species